AGCGAACGCUAGCGGCAGGCCUAACACAUGCAAGUCGAACGAACUCUUCGGAGUUAGUGGCGGACGGGUGAGUAACACGUGGGAACGUGCCUUUAGGUUCGGAAUAACUCAGGGAAACUUGUGCUAAUACCGAAUGUGCCCUUCGGGGGAAAGAUUUAUCGCCUUUAGAGCGGCCCGCGUCUGAUUAGCUAGUUGGUGAGGUAAAGGCUCACCAAGGCGACGAUCAGUAGCUGGUCUGAGAGGAUGAUCAGCCACAUUGGGACUGAGACACGGCCCAAACUCCUACGGGAGGCAGCAGUGGGGAAUCUUGCGCAAUGGGCGAAAGCCUGACGCAGCCAUGCCGCGUGAAUGAUGAAGGUCUUAGGAUUGUAAAAUUCUUUCACCGGGGACGAUAAUGACGGUACCCGGAGAAGAAGCCCCGGCUAACUUCGUG
rnacentral:rRNA from 1 species